UACGUAGGGGGCAAGCGUUGUCCGGAUUUAUUGGGCGUAAAGAGCGUGUAGGCGGCUUUACAGGUCCGUUGUGAAAACUCGAGGCUCAACCUCGAGACGCCGGUGGAAACCGUAAAGCUAGAGUCCGGAAGAGGAGAGUGGAAUUCCUGGUGUAGCGGUGGAAUGCGCAGAGUAUCAGGAAGAACACCAACGGCGAAGGCAGCUCGCUGGGACGGAACUGACGCUAAGGCGCGAAAGCUAGGGGAGCAAACAGGGG
rnacentral:rRNA from 1 species